rnacentral:rRNA from 1 species
CUAAGAAUAUUCCGUAAUGGACGGAAGUCUGACGGAGCGACGCCGCGUGGAUGACGAAGGCCGAAAGGUUGUAAAGUUCUUUUGCUGGGGAAGAAUAACCGCAGGAGGGAAUGCCUGUGGGAUGACAAGAACCGGCGAAUAAGCCCCGGCCAACUACGUGCCAGCAGCCGCGGUAACACGUAGGGGGCGAGCGUUGUUCGGAAUUACUGGGCGUAAAGGGCAUGUAGGCGGCUUGGAAAGCCUGGCGUGAAAGUCUGCAGNUUAACUGCAGGGGUGCGCUGGGAACUGCUGAGCUUGAGUGACGGAGAGGGAGCUGGAAUUCCUGGUGUAGGGGUGAAAUCUGUAGAUAUCAGGAAGAACACCGAUGGCGAAGGCAAGCUCCUGGCCGAUGACUGACGCUGAGGUGCGAAAGUGUGGGGAUCAAACAGGAUUAGAUACCCUGGUAGUCCACGCAGUCAACGAUGUGCACUAGGUGCUGGGGCGGUAGCUUCGGUGCCGGAGCGAACGUGGUAAGUGCACCGCCUGGGGAGUAUGCUCGCAAGGGUGAAACUUAAAUGAAUUGACGGGG